rnacentral:rRNA from 1 species
AGGAUGAACGCUAGCGGCAGGCUUAAUACAUGCAAGUCGUGGGCAGCAUGAGUAGCAAUACUUGAUGGCGACCGGCAAACGGGUGAGGAACACGUACACAACCUUCCUUCAAGCGGGGAAUAGCCCAGAGAAAUUUGGAUUAAUACCCCAUAAUAUAUUUGAUAAGGCAUCUUAUUAAUAUUAAAGCUUCGGCACUUGAUGAUGGGUGUGCGGCUGAUUAGAUAGUUGGCGGGGUAACGGCCCACCAAGUCUACGAUCAGUAGCUGAUGUGAGAGCAUGAUCAGCCACACGGGCACUGAGACACGGGCCCGACUCCUACGGGAGGCAGCAGUAAGGAAUAUUGGACAAUGGACGAAAGUCUGAUCCAGCCAUGCCGCGUGAAGGAUUAAGGUCCUCUGGAUUGUAAACUUCUUUUAUAUGGGACGAAAAAAGGGCAUUCUUGUUCACUUGACGGUACCAUAUGAAUAAGCACCGGCUAACUCCGUG